UUGAAACCUGCCGCCUAUUAAUUUCAUUGGGUGACAUCUGAUUCUUGUGUUGUAUGAAGGAGUAAAUAACACUUCCUUAUUUACUUUCUCCACACCAGUCAUGAAUUUAUAGACCUCUAUCAUAUUAUAUUCAUCUCUUUUCCAAGUUGAAAAUUCC